AAAAACAAAACCUGCGUUUUUCCGUGUCCAACGUUUGAUUGUCCGUUUUAUAUGAAAUUUUUUAUAAUUAGUAUUUUAUGCGUGAUUAAUACUUUAUGCGUGACUUGUCUUUUUUUAUAUAUAUUUUUUUCAAAUAAGAUGGACGGUCAAACUUUAGACACGGAAGUCUAGGGUUUGUCUUUUU
rnacentral:pre_miRNA from 1 species